GAUGAUCAGCACAUCGGGACUGAGACACGGCCGAAUUUCUACGGGAGGCAGCAGUGGGAAUAUUGGACAAUGGGGCAACCUGAUCCAGCCAUGCGCGUGUGUGAAGAAGGCCCUCGGGUUGUAAAGCACUUUCAGCGAGGAAGAACGCCUAGUAGUUAAUACCCAUUAGGAAAGACAUCACUCGCAGAAGAAGCACCGGCUAACUCCGUGCCAGCAGCCGCGGUAAUACGGAGGGUGCAAGCGUUAAUCGGAAUUACUGGGCGUAAAGCGCGCGUAGGUGGCUUGAUAAGCCGGUUGUGAAAGCCCCGGGCUCAACCUGGGAACGGCAUCCGGAACUGUCAGGCUAGAGUGCAGGAGAGGAAGGUAGAAUUCCCGGUGUAGCGGUGAAAUGCGUAGAGAUCGGGAGGAAUACCAGUGGCGAAGGCGGCCUUCUGGACUGACACUGACACUGAGGUGCGAAAGCGUGGGUAGCAAACAGGAUUAGAUACCCUGGUAGUCCACGCCGUAAACGAUGUCGACCAGCCGUUGGGUGCCUAGCGCACUUUGUGGCGAAGUUAACGCGAUAAGUCGACCGCCUGGGGAGUACGGCCGCAAGGUUAAAACUCAAAUGAAUUGACGGGGGCCCGCACAAGCGGUGGAGCAUGUGGUUUAAUUCGAUGCAACGCGAAGAACCUUACCUACCCUUGACAUCGACAGAAGCCGAGAGAGAUCUUGGUGUGCCUUCGGGAACUGUCAGACAGGUGCUGCAUGGCUGUCGUCAGCUCGUGUUGUGAAAUGUUGGGUUAAGUCCCGUAACGAGCGCAACCCUUGUCCUUAUUUGCCAGCGCGUAAUGGCGGGAACUCUAAGGAGACUGCCGGUGACAAACCGGAGGAAGGUGGGGACGACGUCAAGUCAUCAUGGCCCUUACGGGUAGGGCUACACACGUGCUACAAUGGCCGGUACAAAGGGCAGCGAGCUCGCGAGAGUCAGCGAAUCCCUUAAAGCCGGUCUCAGUCCGGAUCGGAGUCUGCAACUCGACUCCGUGAAGUCGGAAUCGCUAGUAAUCGGAAUCAGAAG
rnacentral:rRNA from 1 species